rnacentral:lncRNA from 13 species
AUGGCAUCCACAAGUGCGAAAAUCCAAGUGUGCAAACAGAAUUGGCUUGUAAUACAGUGGCUGAUGUCGUAUGUUGCAAUCACCGGGAAGACACAUGUGGAAGAGCCACUGCAAUGCCACAAUAUAGCAGUGGUAAAGAAUAACGAGUUUCAUUUAGUUCAAGUCAAUGGUACAUGGAAACGCAAAACGGUAAAGAAUUUUAAUAAAAACUUGAAAGGUCGAGUAUCAGCUGCCAAAAUCUAUGAGAGCACCACGGAGCAAGGCACCUCCUGGACAGUGAUCAGUCCCAUCGUCUUCACCUACAAGGUGAUUGAGUCCCUGGGCCUGCUGGACCCCAGCAACGACACCCUGCUCCUGGGCCACAUCAGGGACCCCCAGCAGCAGGAGGCCCUGAGGAGCAGCAUCAGCACCAAGCCCCUGAGGCGCUUCGUGGUCAUGGACCAGACCGUCUACAACCUCUAUGGCUGCCAGCUCACAGACUACUUUGAGGCUCGUAAUGUUCUCUACAGGAUCCUGCCCUUGACCACCACAGAGGAAAACAAGUCCAUGGAGCUGGUGAUGAAGAUCCUGGAGGAGGUCCAUAAGUUCUCCCUGGACAGACGCACAGAGCCCAUUAUUGCUAUUGGUGGAGGGGUCUGCCUGGACAUCGUGGGCCUGGCGGCUUCCCUCUACAGGAGACGCACCCCCUACAUUCGUGUCCCUACCACCCUCCUCUCCUAUGUCGACGCCAGCGUGGGGGCAAAGACUGGGGUGAACUUUGCCAACUGUAAAAAUAAGCUGGGUGGCUACAUCCCCCUGGUGGCUGCUUUCCUAGACCUGUCCUUCAUUCAAACGGUUUCCCGAAGACACAUCUCCAAUGGGCUGGCCGAAAUGUUAAAGAUGGCCUUGAUGAAACACAGAGGUCUCUUUGAGCUGUUGGAGACCCACGGUCCGUUCCUGUUGGACUCCAAGUUCCAGUCUGACAGCGGUCUUCAUGGGGACAACAAAGACGCUGCCUCCGUGUCCACGCGCGUGGCCAUAGAAGCCAUGCUAGAGGAGCUGGCCCCCAACCUGUGGGAGGAUGAUUUGGACAGACUGGUAGACUUUGGUCACAUUAUCAGCCCAGAGCUGGAAAUGAAGGUGCUCCCAUCCUUGCUGCACGGAGAGGCGGUCAACAUCGAUAUGUCCUACAUGGUGUAUGUGGCCCAUGAGAGAGGCCUCAUGACAGAGGAAGAAAAGCUGCGGAUUAUAGGCUGCAUGGUGGGGCUGGAGCUGCCUGUGUGGCAUCAGGACGUUACUUUGGCACUGGUGCAGCACUCACUUUGUGAGAGGCUGAAGCACUCUGGUGGACUGGUCAGGAUGCCUCUACCCAUUGGCCUAGGGCACGCAGAGAUCUUCAAUGACACGGGUGAUGAAAGCCUGUACAGAGCGUUUGAGAAGUGGUGUGAUGAGCAGCGACUACAGUGACCUGAACUGGUCACAAAGACUUUGUAUUGCUGUAGAUGAUUUAUGUUGAAUGAUUGAAAUGAUUGGAACAAGGAUGUGUCAUUUCUGCAUGACACUUUGGCCCAGAUAUCUGGAAUGCUCAACCAUUUUUCCAUAGUUGUAG